AAGAGAAAGAUGAGACAUGAGACCGAACAAUGCAGAAGAGCUGAAGGCCGCUAUUGAAGCAUCCUGGUCUUCCAUAAAACCUCAGCAGUGCCACAGGCUGAUAGCUUCCAUGCCAUGCCGCAUUGAGGCAGUAAUUGCUGUAAAAGGGGCCCAAACCAAGUACUGAGUCCAUAUGCAUGCUUAUACUUUUCAGAGGUCCGAUAUUGUUCUAUGUACACUGCUUGUUUUAUUGAUUGCAUGUAAUAUUCUAAUUUACGGAGAUUGUGG